CAGCACCUCAAGUGGUCAGGAUGAUUAUUGGGCCUAAAGCAUCCGUAGCCGGCGCUGUAAGUUUUCGGUUAAAUCUGUACGCUCAACGUACAGGCUGCCGGAAAUACUGCAGCGCUAGGGAGUGGGAGAGGUAGACGGUACUCGGUAGGAAGGGGUAAAAUCCUUUGAUCUAUUGAUGACCACCUGUGGCGAAGGCGGUCUACCAGAACACGUCCGACGGUGAGGGAUGAAAGCUGGGGGAGCAAACCGGAUUAGAUACCCGUGUAGUCC
rnacentral:rRNA from 1 species